rnacentral:tRNA from 1 species
GACAAGGUGGCCGAGUGGUUAAGGCGUUGGACUGCUAAUCCAAUGGGGUCUCCCCGCGUGAGUUCGAAUCUCAUCCUUGUCG